AAUAAUAAUAAUACUUAUUCUUAUAUUUCCCCUGUAAAAGGCAUACCUGAAGUAGUUUCGGUGUCAUAUGACAAUCAAACAAUGUCAGAGAACAAUAUAUCACAAAUAAAAGACCUGAAAAAACUGGGUUCUACUUGUCAAUUCAGACUAAUAAAUUAAAUCAAAGUUUCUCCUGAACAGCAUGUAUGCUGUCUUGAAUAGCUGGUGGCGUUUGAACGCAUGGUUCAAAAUGAAGUAGACUUGCAUGGAUAAAUCUCCAAGACAAAUUUGUUCUUAAAACUAAAAUGUGCAAUUAUUCAUGUUUUCAUUGUAGUUAUCUACAGACAGAAACGAGCCUUCGCCUUUUGAAAGUGUUGUACAUUUUGAAAUGUGAACUUUGAUGUUUUGGUCUCUUGUUUGCAGUGAUUAAUAGAAGAACCACAGCUACACCAACUCGUGCCCAAAAUGCAGACUUCAGUGAAUCUGUGAUACGAACCAUCCUGACCAAUCAAGAAGUCAUCAAAGAUCAGAUGGGCAUUUUGGUGAAGCUAGUUCAUCAGUUAAAGGGAACUGCAGAAGAGAGCCCAUCUCUACCACCGGAAACACUUCCGGUUGCAACCCUUCAAGAGCUUCUGGUUUUGAAGGGACAGCUGCUUGAUCAAGAAUUCAAGAAAACUCUGAGGCUGUACGAAGAAACCGACUUACAGCAACAUCAACAGAUCAAGAAACUGAACUGUGGAUUAAAAGGUGGCUCCAUCUUGCUGGAGACAGAGAUGGAGGACGCCGUGCCAGGCAGCGAACUGAUAACUGAUGUAACUGAGACAGUCUACUUGUUAGGAACAAUGCUAUAGUUCAGCAUACUUUCAGCUACAUACUUUAAUUGUUGUGACAAAUUUAAAGUUUAAUUUGUUUUGUUAACUUUGUUCAAUGUGGCUUAGUUUUAUUCUGUUUUCAGCCAUUAUAAUGGGUGUUUUUUGCAUUGAGUUAGAGUGGAGCAACCAUCAAAAAAUAUAUUUAACGCUAGGCAGAGGUGCUGUCAUUUCGUGAACACAAGUUGAUUGUGACAGAGGACAUUAGACACUAUUUUUUCCCAAAACUUACAAGGGGGAAUGCAAACGUUGUUCUACAGGCAUUUUUUGUUUAUUGGCCCAUUCAGAAAAUCUAACAUUUUCUAUUUAGCUCACUGUUCUUUAAUUUUAAUAAAUGGAAAUGAAUAACAAAAGCA
ensembl:lncRNA